rnacentral:rRNA from 1 species
UACGGGGGGGGCAAGCGUUGUUCGGAAUUACUGGGCGUAAAGGGCUCGUAGGCGGCCAACUAAGUCAGACGUGAAAUCCCUCGGCUUAACCGGGGAACUGCGUCUGAUACUGGAUGGCUAGAGUGUGGGAGAGGGAUGCGGAAUUCCAGGUGUAGCGGUGAAAUGCGUAGAUAUCUGGAGGAACACCGGUGGCGAAGGCGGCGUUCUGGACUGUUUCUGACACUGUAAAACGAAAGCCAGGGGAGCAAACGGG